GCGGGAGUAGCUCAGUGGUAGAGCAUCAGCCUUCCAAGCUGAGUGUCGCGGGUUCGAUUCCCGUUUCCCGCUCCA
rnacentral:tRNA from 2 species